GAGAAGAACGUAGCGAAAUGCGAUACGUAAUGUGAAUUGCAGAAUUCAGUGAAUCAUCGAAUCUUUGAACGCACAUUGCGCCUGCCAGCACUCUGGCAGGCAUGCCUGUUCGAGCGUCAUUUCAACCAUCAAGCCCUAGGCUUGCGUUGGAGCCCUGCGGCUGCCGCAGGCCCCUAAAAGCAGUGGCGGGCUCGCUAUCACACCGAGUGCAGUAGAUUACUCUUCGCUCAGGGCGUGUGGCGGGUUCCAGCCGUGAAACCCCCUACUUCUCAAGGUUGACCUCGGAUCAGGUAGGAAUACCCGCUGAACUUAAGCAUAUCAAUAAGCGGAGGA
rnacentral:misc_RNA from 1 species